GCAGAGUGCCAUAAUUUUAGUUCUUGAUUUUCUUUUUUUCUCACCUAUUUAUACUCAUUUUAUACUCACAUAUAUGUUGUCCUCAUCUAGUCUUGUGUCUUUGAAAACCCUUCAAGGCUGAUAGUUCCCAAACUGGUGUCACUAGCUCAGAAUUUUUUCUCAAAUCACAGAUUCAUCACUCCAUCUCUCUAUGAAUAUCUCCACUUGGGUGAACAGUAAAUAAUAAGAUGUCUCAAACACACACUGUCCACCUGAUAAAACCUUAGGUUUCUUUCUGCUCUUUCUAUGGAGAAUCUUUCUCAUCUCAUUGGAAGAUAACCCUGCAUUUCCAAGUUUGGGGAGAAAGACCUUGGGGUUAUUCUUGAUCUUCUCUUUCAUGCACACUCCACCAUCACAUCUUCAGGAAAUCCCUUUGGCUCUGUUUUUAAGAUAGAUUCAGACUCUAAAGUCUUCUCACUGCCUCCACCAUUACUAUGCUUCCUUUCCUACCUGGCCUCCCUGUUUCUAUUCUUGUUUUUCUACUAUCUGUUCUCAACAAUAGACAGGUUGAUUCUCAUAAAAUGUGAGUUAAUGGUUUCCCUUCUCUCCUAGAAUUCUGCCCGUGGCUGCCUAUUUCAUAAGCGCUGAGGCCAAAGUCCUUACAAGAUCUUACAUUUUCAGGCCCCUGAUUACCUAUUUGGUCUCAUUUCCUACUUAUCUCCCUCUUGUUCACUCAGUUCUAGUCAUUUUGCCUUCCUUGCUUUUCCUUGGACAUGCCAGGAAUUCUCCUAACCUGUGCACUGUCAUUUCCCUCUGAUAAGAACACUCUUCUCUUAAUUAUCAGACUCCUUCAAGUUUUAAUUCAAAUGGCAACUUUCCAAAGAGGCCUAUGCUGGGCACCCUAUUUAAGAUUGCUGCCAGUCUUUCCUCUGUUCCAGCUCUCCCAACCCCUUACCUUGCUCCAUUUUUUUUUGCCUUGCACUUAUAAUCUUGUAAUACUCUCUAUAAUUUACCUAUUUAUUAUGCUUUUGUUUUUUGACAGCCCCCACUUCACCCCACUGCCACUAGAAUCUAACUUCCACAAGGGCAGAAAGUUUAGUCUGUUUUGUUCACUGAUGUAUUCAAGAACCUAAGAAAGUGCCUGGCACAAGAUACAUGCAUGAUACAUAUUUAUUAUGUGAGUAAAUAAAUGAAUCUUCCACUUGAGAAAGUCAAAAUCAUCAUCAAAGAUACUAGAAAUUCCCAUUUCUAAUCACUACAAAUUAGUGACUUUCAUCUUGUUUAUACGAAAAAACAAUCAUUUAUCAUCUAACAGAUCAUGGAAAGAUUCACAAAACAACAAAAUAUGUAGUCUGGCACUAAACUAGUAAACAGCCAGUGUUAUUUUUCCAAUGAACAUCAGAGGACCUUUACCAAAAAUAGAAGGUCUUUGAUGCUGAGAUAUAAAUAAAAGCCAACACUCCAGCUUAAUUAGAUUUCGCAAUUCAGAAUAUGAACAAAUCAAGUCUUUGUAACUAUUUUCGAUGCUUAUUAAAAUACAUUAUUCAUAUUAACAUCAUAAAUCAUACUUGGAAUGUAUUCUUGAUUUGCUUUAUUAGUCCUGUGGUUGCAUAAAUGUAACUAUUGAUUGCUUUUAUAUUAUCUGAAAAUUGCUUAAACUUGUAGCUUCUAAGCUAAUGUUUCUCAAAAUGUGUUCUAAGAAACACAUUUUGGACUCCACGUUUCAUGAAAAUGUGGAGUCCAAGCUCAGGUGAGUUGGAAAGACACUGACUGAAACAGGUUUCUUUACUAAGGGGCUACAUUGUGAAUUUCAAUUUUUAAAUUUGAUGGGCAGCACUUCCUAAAGUUACUUGAUCACAGAACCUUUAGUCAAGGAUCAUUUUAACUUUGGGAAAUGAUGUUACACACAAGUAAUAUAUCAAGUACCAGAUAUUUGGUCAAAUUUGUGAUGGUGUUAUCUCUUCACAAAAGAUUACUUAGUGAUAGCGAUUUGUAGAAUAUUGGUUAUACAAGUAGAAAAGUUUGCAGAUGUCUGGAUAGAAGAUAUCCAAAACCUAGGUGGAAAAAUAAACAUUUAUAAUAUACUAACACAGAGGGCAUGGAGGUGUCAUGAUAGUGAAAACUAGAAGGAAAUGGUAAAUACAGAAGGAAUAAAAGUUGAGAAAAGGAUGGAGAGAGAGUUAAAAAAAAGACCAUAAUUGAUGCUUUUCUUUCCUGUUAAUGCAGCCAGAAUCCAGAUUUGGGACCAAAAAAAAGGAGAAAGCUCUAUGGAGAGCCCUGAGCCUGUGUCUUAGUGAAAAUGACAAGAGUGGAGGCCCCAGCUCUAGUCUUCACUCUUUUUCUUCCUACAUUUGUAUGAAAGUGAUCAAGAGUAAGCAAAAUGUGCAUUUCAUACAAUAUGGUUGCUUUUUUUUUUUUUUCCUAAGAAAAGAGCAAAUAGCCUCAGGAAAUCAGAUUCUUGUGACCUUUGUUACUCUUUAUUACUAAAGUAGUGUUCAUUCUCAGACUCUAAAGGACAUCUGAUUAGUAACACAUGGGUGACAUCAUUGAAAAAGCAUAAUCUGUGUGUCAUGAAAUGUUACUUGAAAAUAGUAGUGGGAAAAAGUUUUGUCAUUUGGGGAAGGAUGUCAAGAAAACAUCUCAGUCAGUUAUUUGUUGGAUUUAUUGGUGAAAAAAGCACACAUUUUUACUGAUUUGACUUUGGCUCAAUAUUGAACAAUUCGGGGCUACAAAACUGCACAUUGAGAUAUCGCUUAGCAUUUGAAAAUUAUGGUUUAUAUUUGACUAUGCUGCUAAAUGGCCUAUAAAGAAUUAUAUACAUUUGAUAUUUAAUAGGUUCAACAAAUAUACCCCCUGUUCCUGAGGAUGAUCCAUUUUAAGCAGAGCUGAGGGUGGCACAUUGCUCUUGAUGCAGAACCCAGGGGAGCACCUCUGAGCUGGCAGAGAAUCUCAGAAGCCUUCCGUUUUCUAUGACUUCAUCCUAAGAUUUAAUCUAGUUAAUCAAGGCAUCUUUUGGACUUGUAUAUCACUUCAAGGAGACAAUAGCCUUACAGAGCUUUCCACCAUACAGACUUAAUACAUGCUGCAGAGAAACUGCAGAACAAUUUAUUAUAUGUGAUAUCUUUAUUUUUAACAUUUUUUUUUGUCUUUUUAGGGCUGCACCCAUGGCAUAUGGAAAUUCCCAGGCAAGGGUUGAAUCAGAGGUGUAGCUGCCAGCCUAUUCUACAGCCACAGCCACAUGGGAUCCAAGUCACAUCUAUGACCUACGCUCACAGCAAUGCCGGAUCCUCAACCCACUGAGCGAGGCCAGGGAUCAAACCCACAUCCUCAUGGAUACUAGUCUGGUUCAUUACUGCUGAGCCAUGACAGGACCCAUGAUAUCUUUGAAAUAUCAAGAAGGUUGGGGAUUUGUAUUUAAGAAACUGAGGAUUGGUUCUUACAAUGAAUCCAUCAUCACUACUUGGAGGAAUCCCAUGUUACAAAGAAUGGAUCCUGCAGGUUUUUUCUUUGUGCUGAAAUCUGCCACGGGCAGGGGAGAAACAAGCUCUGGUCAACAUUCCAAUGAUGAUGGGCCUGGGAAACGGUCCCUCUGAAACUGGAUAAGAACCCAGUGAUUAACAGUACUUGAUGUUUUAAACAGUUAUGGUAAUUUAAAUGGCUGAUGUCAACAUUGCUACUAUCAGCAGCAACCUAAUGCUUCAAGUUUCGUUAAAAAUCAUGUAUUUGAAUUCACAUUUUCAUGUUGACUUGCUCAGCAAGUAGAGCACAGAAGUUACAGAUCCAGAUGGUGGAUGCCAUCAUGGCCUUGGAUGCACUGCCUGGAACCCCUUCAUAAAUGAAGAACUUAUUCUCUCGGCCACCAGGAUGCUGCUGGAAGAGGGCUCUUCCUUGUGGUUGUCUUAGCUCGAGACCACUGCCCUCCUUGGCGUAUAUAUCUCCUUCUAAUGACUGAUCGGCAUGGGAUGGAGGGACCUGGCUUUCUUGUCCUAACUCAGAACUAGGGAGUUGGAAGGGAUGCAAUUGGAAAGUUGGUGACAAUGACAUCUGGGGAAAAUAUGUGGAUAAAUCUCUACAAAUGGUCCCAGAGUAUAUGAGAGCUGUGUCUCUUGUGACCUCAGCAGAACUGGAUGAUAGGAUUUGUUUUGUUGAUAUGGGUCUCCCUUCCCCAGGUACCUCAUCUUGCCCAAGUGGCCAUGGUGGCAGGGAUCAAGGGCGCACAUGGGCUCAGCAAAAUAGAUGUCUGCUCACCGAGGCUAGAUGGCUGCAGCUCCUGCUGAAUGCUCCAUCUGCCAGCGCAGAGACCAGCGCAGAGCCUGCAAUGGGACACACUUCCCCAGGGGAUCGGCCAACCACGUGGUGGCAGGAUAAUUAAGCUGCAGCACUUCCAUCGAGGAAGGGGCUGCAUUUCAUUCUUGCUGGAAUAGAUUAUCACACUGGGUGUGGACUUGCUUCUCUUGCCUCCAAUGCUUCUGGAAAACCCACCAUUUGUGAACUCAUAGUCUGCCUUACCCACUGUCAUAGCAUCUGACACAUUAGCACUUCCCAGCAAGGAACAAAUUAUACUUAUAUGGAGCCAGGGGGUCCAUGCCCAUGGACUUCUCUGGUCUUAACUGUGUUCACCACCAUCAUGAAGCAGCUUGCUUGUAAAAUGUUGGAGUAGCCUUUGAUACAGUGAGUUAUGGUAUCAAUUAGGUGACAAUGCCACAUGGGGUGGGACAGUGUUCUCCCGGAGGCAAAAUAUGAUCUCACUUGGCAUCCAAUACACAGUGCUAUUCCUCCCAUAGUCACCCAUCUGGGAAUGAAGGGGUGAAAACAGGAGUGUCUUUGCUCAUUACAACCCCACAAUAUCCACUACUGAAAGUUAUACUUCCUGUCACUGCUACUUAAGGCUCUGCUGGUCUAGAGGCCUUAACUUCCAAAGGGAAGAAUGAUUUCUCAGGGGAACCCCAAAAUAGUUCUACUGAACUGGAAGUGAAUAUUGUCACUUGGUUUAGAAGGAUUUUUAAAAUUCCAAAUUUAUCUUCUUUUCUAGAAUUGUCUUCCAUCUCUUUGACUUCUAACCAAUGUUUAUUUUCUGUAGCUAUACUUAUAUUUACUUACAGAGAAAGAGAACAUAAGAGUAGCACACUCCUUCUUUGUCAGCUAUCAAGAGGAGAGGGACAUUAUUUUGUAACUCAAAGCAGUAGCAACAAAGCAGGAAAAGCUCAGGCUUUGAGCCAGAUGGGCAGCUGUGUUCAAAUCCCAGCUCCUUGAUCUACUAAAUUACUUAAUUUUUCUGAGACUUAGUUUUCUCAUCUGUCAAACAGGGAUAAUGAUACCUGUUAUAUAUCCAUGUGGUGAGUGUGAAAUAAUUAAAGCAGAAGCAAAGCACAUCUUGGACUCAGCCUAGUGCCUACUUGGUCAUCAGGAGGGACAGUGUUGGUUUACGCUUCCUGUCUUGCAAUCAUUAUCAUAAUGAUAUUAAUUAGGAUUUAUAACUCUGUUAAUGAUUAUAAUAAUUACUAAUAGCACACCAUUUCAAUCUCAGAAGUUAAGAUGAUGAAUUAGAUGUUCACUCUAAUCAUUGUCAAAUGUUGGUUUGCAUUUGCCACUCUUUUAUUGCUUAUUGUUGAGAAGAUUGCCAUAAAGUAGGUAGAAUUCAGAAGUAGUGUUUACCUAUGACUUGUAAACUCAGGUUUUGUUUUAUUUUAUUAUCAUUAUUAUUUUUUUGCUGCACCUGCGACAGAUCGAAGUUCCUGGGCCAGAGAUUGAAUCUGAGUUGCAGCUGCAACCUAUGCCACAGCUGUGGCAAUGCCAGUUCAUUAACUCAAUGGACCACAGUGGGAACUCCCUAAACUUAGAUUUUAAAUGAUUGCUGGAACUCCAAGUUUUAUUCUGAAUAAAAGAGAGCGUAGGUGUUGAAAUUUGACCAAUGAUGAAAACUGAUUACCUUAUUCCAAGGGUUGGCUUUAUUCAAGGGGAUGAUAAAACUGAUACCUUCCAUUUCAAUAGAGUCCUUGAAGAAAUCUUAUGAUAAGUCACAUUUAAACUUUAUGAUGUGAAAGGCUAAAAAAAUGUUCAGGAGAAUCAUUGCUGCCUCCCAUUUUUAAUCACUUUUUAAACUGGGAUUUCUUGUGCAUUUUUGCACACAAGGAAUUCUAGUGGGUAGGGUCCUCAGUGGCUUUCUUGGCAUGUUCACCAGAGGUGAGAAGUAGGCUCAUGCCCCUCCAUAGCCUCUGAGGAUGCGUUUCUUAUCCUUUCUUUGCUGGACAAUUUAGAGAAGAAUGAUCUGUCAGAGUAUUUAUAGAAGCCAUUAGCACGAUGAGUGAAGGCUUCGGAUAACUGAUGGCUCUUUAAAAAUAUGGCCUUAAGAAGAGGAAAGAGAAACUUGUAGGGUGUCUUCCAAAUAGCAGAUUGCUAUAUUUGGGUGGUCUGAGGAUUAUGACAAAUGUCAAGGACCACACACCGCACAAAAACAGCUCAUUAUAGCUGCACACGCAGAAUGCCAUGUUCAAGGUUGAGUGGCUGAUUUUGCUGCAAACACUAAUUUCCAGAUUAUACAAUUUGAAAUUUUUAAUUAGCCAUGAAUCCUUGUAGGGAUAACUUUGCUAUGCCUCUUUAUGUGUUGUAAAAAUAAGUCAGACUCUGCUUCAGCCACCCAAGACCUCCAAUAAAGGUUUCUGUGUGAUAGUGAUAGUUUCCUCUUCAAAUGCUAAUUUUGAAAAUUCAUAUUUCAGAAGAAUUAGUGGCUCAAUUCUGUGGUCAUUCUGCAUUUCUAAAUGUCAUUAAAAUUAAUGAAUUCUGAAAAUGAAAAGAAUAAAGCUGGUCUUUUCAGUUUGACUGAAAUGUUCCUAUUGAAUAACAUCAGAUCCAGUAAAUCACUUAAAUCUGUUGGUGAUACACACCUUUUAAAUGACUGUUGGAUUCAUGCACAAUACUUUUAUUGUUGAGGAUGUGGUGUGAACAGUAUGGAGGACAAAAUAAUAAAGAUUCAUUGAGUGUCCUGAGCUAUUUAGACUCAAUAUGCAUCAUAUUGAGAGAAUGCAAAAAUUCAAUGAAAUGCCAAAACCACCAUCGUUGGUAAUGGAGGCAUUCCAGAAAAGAUUGCAUUCUUAGGGAUGUCGCCAAAAGAUAUUUUAGUGUGUGUUUGUACACAAAAAUAUGAAUAAAUAUAUAUGGAAAAAUAGAAAGCAUAUACUAUAUAUGGAUAUAUAUUUAUAUUUGUAUAUAUAUAUUUAUAUUUGUGUGUAUAUAUAUAUAUUUAGAAUGUUACAACGGACCAGAUAAUAUAAUUCUAUGUAUUAAAUGCAGGGUUACAGAUGGACUA
rnacentral:lncRNA from 1 species